UCGCAUCGAUGAAGAACGCAGCGAAAUGCGAUAAGUAAUGUGAAUUGCAGAAUUCAGUGAAUCAUCGAAUCUUUGAACGCACCUUGCGCUCCUUGGUAUUCCGAGGAGCAUGCCUGUUUGAGUGUCAUUAACAUAUCAACCCUUCCAGCGUCUUUAGAGGCUGGUUUGUGGCUUGGAUGCUGGGGGUAUUUUGCUGGCCUCUCAAGGUCUGCUCCCCUGAAAUGCAUUAGCGGAACCGUU
rnacentral:rRNA from 1 species